rnacentral:tRNA from 1 species
GCUGGGGUAGCUCAGUUGGUAUAGAGCGCCUGACUGUGGAUCAGGAGGUCGGGAGUUCGACUCUCCCCCCCAGUA